rnacentral:lncRNA from 1 species
GAUUGCGAAUAGCGGGCUGGCUCUCGAGGCAGCUGGGCAGGUAGGGCGCGUUAGGAAACAUCCUGGCCUGGCCGGAUGACGCCUGGCUGGGCGGAGGAGGACCGAAGGGCCCGUAGCGACAGGCUCCGGCUGUGCCAGUGAACUGGCCGGAAAAGUGGACAGUGAAGGCGCUCAGGCACUGCUCCUCGUGCGGCUCCGCGCCGCCCCAGCUCGGCUCCUGUUUGAUGAAGGAGUGAGGCGGCGGCGGCGGGGGUGGCGGCGGAGCCGGUGGCGGCGCGGGGCCGCCCAACGACCCGUAAGCCGAAGCGCCCGGGGGCGCAAAGUCCAGCACCGGCGCCCACUGCGCCGCGCCGCUCACAGGCAGGGCACAGCCGCCGCCGCCACCCAGGGAGGGGACGGCGGGCAGCAGCGCGUUCAGGUCCCGCACGUCGGAGCCCAUUUGCUGCGGCUCAGACCCGGACGCCCCGCGGCUCCUCCGGCCCUGGAGACGUUCAGCGCUGGCCUCGGCGGCGCCUAACUUGGCCCAGAUGCCGCCCGGGUCCCGGACUCCCUGCUGCUCUGGCUGCUGUAGGCACCCAGGCCCGGAGCGGAGCGUGUGCUGAGACGCCGGCUCCGGGACACACGUGGAAGCCGGGUCCUGCAGCAAGAGGAAGUCCAGGAUCGCGGCGAGGAGACGGCGGGGCCCGGGCGCCUGGGCUGCCGUCCCGGCUCUGGCUUCCCAAAGCUCAAAUAAGAGGGGCCGGCGGCGCGGGGAAGAGGAGGAGCCAGGAGGCUCGGCCGCUCCAUUCACUCAGCAGCCCAAGCCCGGCCAGGCAGCGCGCGCUGCUCCUUGGGGGCGCCCUCGCAGCUGGGGUGAGGGCGGGUCCGAGGGAGCGUCCCUCUCGGAGACACCCUCCUCUUCAACCCAACACGCGCUCUCAGCUGGCCGGUGUGGCACAACCCUCCCCCCACCUCCCCUUCUUGGCCUUCGCCAGUGUGGGAGCCUCGUCUCACUGGAGAGUCCGUUCAGGCAAGGAGAAGAACCGGGGGCCGGAGCGGAGCGUGUUUCAGAGGUGCGUAUAAAAUCCCAGGGGCGCCAGGAGGCAGCAGCGACGGCGCAGCGUGGGACGGCCAGGCGCGACGGGAGGGAAGCAACCGGUUGCAGUCCGGCCUCCUGUACCUGGCUGGCCCGGGCUGGGGCUGCAAGCUUUCCAGCCAAACUUAUGUGAAGCAAAGUAGUUGCAGUUUGACAAAGAAUGGCGUUUCAAUAAAUGACAUAGUAAUUUUUUACGCUUUGGUUUUUAGCUUGCAUUGCAUAAACGUUGUCGCCAUUAAAUUCUGGCUGCGGACCCGAAGUGUGUGCGGGCCCAGGACUUACUCGAAGGGCGCACUUCUUGGGAAUGCGCAUCCCGUAGGCGCAGGAGACCCUGAGGAAUCCUUGUGGGGGCGGGGAGGGGAAGAGCACCGGUGCGAACCCCGGGGUGCCCCCUCGCCCGACUUGGACUUCUCCGACUAAAGAGGUGGGAGGAGUUCCCUGCAGCCUGCGGGGCCAAGAAGAAAGUGCUAAGCUGAGGAGCCGCAGUCGGAGGACCCCAGGGACCCGACAGGAAGUCUCCGUACGACCCCAACGGAUCCACAUGCCCGGAAGCCCAGGCGACACUAAGCCAGCGCUGGGGAACUGACGUACUCCUGCAGUCGCAGGGCGCUCCAUGCCUCUCUGUCCUCUUCUUUGUUGUGGGUAACGUUCUCUGCGGGAGACCUGAGGUUUUCCAAGGGGGACAUGCCAGCUACACUGGCCUUGGCGCCCUGAGCUAAGCACCAGGACUCACAGCCUAGCACGAAGGCAGGUAGCACCUUCACCCGCCGCGGACGAUAGGCGCUCUCCUGUACCUCCUUUAGCUCGCGAGGCCCGCCCUUCGCGAGGUCCCAGAGAAAAGCAGGCUGUGGAAAACUGGGCGCCCCCUUCUUUCACCCACCUUCUUACCCCUGUCAGCGCCGAGAUCUGUAGCAGAGGUUCCUGGUCUGAACCACCGAUUGGCAAAGAAAGCUGCAGAUUAAACUUCUCGUUUUACAGAGAAGGAAACUGAGGCCCAGACAGCCGAAGGAGAGGCAGUCUAUGGAGCGCAGCGGUAAAGAGCAAGGGGUUGGUGGCCCCAGAAUGGAACCUCAGCUCUGCCAGGACAGGAAACAAGUUAGUGGCAACGCCGAGCUGAAACCCGGGUCUCUCAACGUCCAGUUGGAGGUUUUACCCACCACCCCUCUACCUCUUCAGAGCUAAUGGGAUGCAGAGGCGAGGACAGCCCCUGGAAAACCAUGUGGCGUUGAUACACUGGCAAAGCGCAGGCAUCCCGGCCUCGAAGGUGCAUAAUUAUUGCAAUAUGAAAAAAUCGAGGCUGGGUAGGAGCAGGGCAGUGAGGAUUUCUCAACCCUUACUUUCACCCCGGCGCUGUCCACUGCAUCUGACAGAGCGCGGAGCUGGGCUGCUACAGCCGCAACCCCAGGGACCAGUGCGCACGCCUGGGCCGCCCUCCGGGAGUCACCCAGCGGCCGCGGACAACUGAAUAAACACCCCAAAGCGCUGCGGUCGGUCAAGGGCGGGGACAGCCACACUGCGCGCGGGGCCCGCAGGCCGUAAUAAAGAGUGGCUCGACCUCGCUGCUGCCUGUCGCGGGAGAGGAACAAGCUUUCGACUAGCGCCUCUCCCCGGGGCCCGCGCCCCGAGCCCCACGCGCAAGACAGCCCAACAGCUGUUCCUCCCCUCCCCGCCGACUCCAACUCUUCGGAAUCUGCCCACUCGGGGCUGCAGGGCAAGUGUUUAGGAUGGUUCCCAGCCCCGCGCUGGCGGUGAAAAUUUCAACGUCAUUCCUUCAAUUAAAAAAAGGGGGGGGCAAGGGAGGGGCUUUGUGAUAACUACUCCCAGCUUCUUCUGAUCAUUUCAAAAUUAAGUCGAUUUUUUUUAACCAGUCCCCACUUACUGUCCUAACUCUCCUCGCUGACCCUAUCUGGGAGCCCGGAACCGUUAGGUACUGCCGAAUGCGGUGCAAAAUUUCCCCCUCUCCCCCAGUUCGCAGUGCCUGGAGCCGCUGGGGUUACUCGUCUGUUCUGAUGCCACCGCGAGAUGGUCCCCGAGCUCCCCGAGAGUCCUCAGUGAAAGGAUUCCGCGGCACUGCCUCUAUUAUUAUACCGUAAAUCUUUUUAAAUUCUGGAACUAAUUAUAUAGAGGAUAUGUCUCAAUUUGUUCUGCAUUAAUGCCACAGUGGGGAUGGAGGCCAGGCCGUGGCCAGAGCAGAUACGUAGGCCCAUGAAAUUGAUGAACUGAGAGUUGCUUCCAGUCCUGAGCGCACCAUCUGGAAUUCCAGUCUGAGGUUACAAUUAGAACUCCUGACCCCAGAUUCAACUUUGCAAACAACAGGGGAAAAAAAUGGGGAAAAGAAAAACCACGAGAGAGGGAAAAAAAAUUAUUCUGCACCUGUAAAAAAAAAAAAAAAAAAAAAAAAAAAAAAAAAGUCACACAAUCUUAAAAUCUUUCCGUCUUAGACAAUUCUUUCCAAGUAUUUCUUUUGUGUUUUUUAACCUAUAAAAGAUAAUGGAAUGUUUUAUAGACUGGAUUUUAUCUCAUCCCCUUUCCCUCUCCCAACUGCCCUCAGUUUAAUAGUUGUCAGUUUUACCUCAGUGUUGAAUUUAAUUAUAUAGGAACAAAAUAUUCCUCAGUAAAUUUGCUUGCUAAAUAUUCUGUCACAUUUACUUCCCCUUUGAGAAAUGGCUUAAUUAUAGAAAUCUACCUGCAUCUAGGAAUUUUUUUUCCCUUUUCUUUUUUGACCGCCAUUCCAGCUUAAUCGUAAGCAGAGAUUUUAUUUGUGCAGUAAUUUUAUUUGUGUUCUAAAUUCGUUUAGCCAAUUUCUUCCUUCUUUCUUUAGUAACACCCUGCUUUAUUUUCCUCUCACUUUGACCCCCUGAAGAAAACGAAGGACCAAGCAGUACUGGAGAAUCUGUUAAAUUUAUUAGCAUAAAUGCUUAGACAAAACGAGAUAUAAAUCAUUCAGAUGUAUUAAGCCAUAAAGUAUCCCAAUGAAGUCAGUCCCUUGCCAGGGUCCUGGUGUAUAAAUGUUCAUAUAAAACAAGGUAUCAGUAUUAUCUUUCAAACUGAAUAUAUGUUGUAAAAAUAUCCAAGGUUGAGUUAGGAAUAUGGGGGGAGGGUGCAGCAGGGCAGGAAGGGGAUAUUCUUUAGACCAGUUUGUUAACAUAGUGGUGGCUCAGAAAGUAUGGUGGAAAGGAAAAAUUUCAACCGUUUACAUUUGGAGUCUUCUUAGAUAAUAUGUUUUUAAAUAACGGUAUGCAGGAUAUAUUUGAGAGCAAAGGAAUAAGAGAAAAAAAAGAUGACUAGAGGGAGAAAGGCAUUGAUUUCUGUAGAAUGCAUUUGUCCCCCAAAGAUCAGUUUAGCUUCACAAAAAUCCACCCAGAGGAGGCACUGGCUCUUCACACAGAUAACGGAUUAUCCAGUAGAGAAGAGCUACCUGGGCCUUCGUCUGGCAACUGGGAUAUGCAGCCGCUGGUCAGCAGAGGGAUGUGUAUUCAUUAGCGGUGGAAGACGAGGAAAGCGCCCGGGAGUGAGGAAGAGGAAUGGACAGAAUUCCUGGCAGAAGCUUACCAAGACAAAAAUCAGACACAAUGUUUAAGCAGCAAUUGCUCGUGAAGUUCAUAACCAUGGCUCUCUGUAAAUCUUGGCAAAUUGGGACAUUCUUUGCUUUUUGGAAAUGAUUGUUUUCAAGACUUUUUUUAAAAAAUCAAGUUGUCCACCAGAAAAAUGGAAUAGCUCACCUUCCCCAUCUUUUUUUUAAAGCAGGGAUAUCCUCAUCCUUUCCGUGCCAUUCAUUCUUUCAUUCAUUCACUCACCGUGCAACAAAGAUUGUUGGGCAUUGUAGCAGCAAGUAGGAGCACAGGGUAAUGACAGGCUCACCCCGCUCUCACAGUUUAUAUUCCAGUAGGUAUGACAGAUACAUUACAAGGAAACAAUGAGAUAUUUUCAUAUAGUAGUAAUUGCUAUAAAAGAACAAGGAGAUCUGUAAGACUAGAGAAUGACUAAAGGUGAGAUGGGAAUGAGGAGCAACAGAUAGCCCUCACUUCCUUUUGCUUUCUGCCCACACUACCACAUUUUAGUGUGUUUAGGAAGUAUUCCACCUUACAGUCCAGAUGCAGGAAGGGUUUGAAGGAUUUGGAAUGGUUGGUCUGGAUAAAUCUCUGCCUACAAAACUGGACUUUAUGAAAGCGGCAGGGCAGCUGUUUAUAUAGCUGGCUUAAAAUCAUCACCACUAGCUGAGUGACUCUGAAAGCUAUUUAACCCCUGAGAAAUUCAGUUUUCUUCUCUUCAAGAUAAAAAAUAACAGCAAGUUAUGAGGACUACAUAAGGUAAGGCAUGUAAAUUUCUUAGCCUUUAGGAAGCACUCAAUACAUGUUGGCUAUUAUCUAUAUAGACAUAAAUUCUAUGCUUUGCUUCCAAUUAAUUGAUAAGUUAUAGGCUUAGUAUUGAUAUUGGUGUGAAUUCAGAAAAGGUGGAAGUCUUUGUUCUUGUUGGAUCAGGGUGAAGAGCAGGAAGAGAAACCUUUGCUGAAUCUGACCUUAAACAAGGUUGUUGCCAUCUAGAAGGAAAUUUAAAUGAUUUUGCCCUACACCAGGACCCUAAAACAGGAAAUAUGUGGCUUUUGCCUCAAAAUCAAGCUUAGGUUCCUUCUUUUAGUACAGAAGUCUAUAGGUUAACAACCUGAAAAUCUUAGAAUUGCAUUGAAAAUCUUAGAAUUGCAUUGUUCCUUAGAGCCACAUUUCAGGUUUGCAGCCUUGUCCAGGAUAAAGAAUUCUGGGGUAGGUAUAAAAACACCUGAACUCAAAUCCUAUCUCUAUCAGUUACUGUGAUCUUAGGGAAAUAGCUUCAGCUCUCAGUUUUUCAGUAGCUUUAUGUGUAAAAUGGAGAUUAUAUAAAAUGAAAUAAAGCAUCCAUAGGUGAUUUGAAAACUCUGAAGUGUCAGACAGUGCAGAAGACCAUCAUAACAUUGUUACAUGUGAACAUGUGGAAAGGAAUAUGUCUAUUCAGAACACUGGGGCACAUUGCUUGCUCUCAUGGUUCUUCAUUUUUAAGUGAGUAUAGUACCUUUCAUGCAGGGCUAUUGUGAUAAGUAAGUGAGAUCAUAUAUAUAAACUUUCAAAACAAUGCAUAGCAUAGAAUGUGUGCUAUGUAAGCAUCACUGCUACGGUUAUUGUUACUGUUCUCUGGCCAUCUUGUUGGGCCAAGUGUUGAACCUUAUAAUUUUCACAUAGAGAGCUUCUUACUGUAGAAGUUUAUAAUAGUAUAGAGAGCAAGGCUUUGGGAUCAGAUGACUGGGGUUUAAAGCCUCCUCGCUAGUUAUUUUCUGUAUGGCUUUGGGUGGCUUCCUUAUUUUCUCUGAGCUUUAAUUUUCAUAACCUUAAAACAGGGCUAAUGAUACCAUCACCUCACAGGGUUGUUUUGAGAACAAAUUAAAACACCAUAUGUAAAUUGCUUUCGUGGCACCUGGCAUGUAGUAAGAAAUCAAUAACUGGUAGUUAUUAAACCUACAAUUCUUCUAAUCAGACAAUAUUAGCUAUGACUUAAAACAGGUGAGCCUGCAAGAGCUUGAAUUACAGCAUGAUUCUGAACAAACACAGAAAGUAAUUUCUAUCUUCUUUUAAACUCACCUGUACUACACUGAAAUCUCACUCUUUCACAUAUGAAAGACUUUGCAACCAAGGCACUGACAAGGAUUUCCUUUUUGACUAUGAACGCUUUAGGUUAAAAUUCUGAAUCUCAUUUAUUUUUAAUGGGUUUCUUUGCAAAAUACCCAGCGUAUGUCAAGGACAUUGGUAAUCCCAUGUUCUUCAAAAUAAGCAGGAAAUUGAUUUCAGCCAAUGGGGAGAAAAAGUAGUUUGAUCCUCUUCCUGGAGUUACCACAUAGCAUUUAUUAAUAGCUCUGUAAACGGUCUGGAACACAGUAUCAGCUUGCUGUUCAAAAUAUGACAAAAGUUUAUGCAAAGUUGCUUAGGAAAAACAAGAUCUAGUCAUUAGAAAUCUGACACUGGUCAAUAGUACAUUUAUUCCAAGUCUCCAUAAAUCACAAACAAAUGAAACUUCUAUUGUGAUCACUGUUCCAGAUCUAAAAGACCCUCCCCCUUACUUUGGUAGAAAUUAAAUACAUUUUAGAAAGCCCAAUAUUUUUUCCUCUACAAAUAGAGGCUAAUUACAAAAUUUCCCAAGAAAUAAUAAAUAUUAAACUAUAAUCAACAGAUGUGACACAAGAUGAAUAAGAAGCACAUAACUUAGCUUUCAUUCCUUAUGUAGGGCGCAUGUUUAUCUUUAAUUAUCCCCAACCUGGGAAUGGCAUAAAUGUUAUCUGUUUUAUUUAUUAUUUGUAUCUAGAGUGACAUCACAUUUUGAUUUUGCCCAGGACAGUCUCAGCUUAAGCUGUUGUCCCAGCUUAAUUAUUAAUUACUCUCCUUUUACUCCAAAGUAUUCUACUUUUGAUGGUAAAUAAGGACUUCACUUGCUUAAAAUUUUAUUUUAUUAAAAAAAUGAUAGAUUUAAGAAAGCCAUUGGAACAAGGGUAAAAGAUAGGCUAAAUGGGGCUAAUGAGAAGAAAAAAAUUGAAUUAAUAUUAGAAUCAAAGGAUGCAGAUAGUUACUAUAAUUGAGCAUAAUGCAAUUCUGAACUUCCUGACAGCCAAGUAAGAAAGGGGAAAAUAGCACUAGUUACCUAUCUUUCGUGAUGCAAUAAAGGGAAGAAACCUAGUUUUUCAGAAGAGAUGAAUUUUUUCUAGUACUAAACUCAAAGAGGAACUUACCAUACUAGCCUUUCUAUAAGAGUUAUCAGGUAACGGUUAGCGACUUCAAAAAUAAUGUUUCAAAAGAUGCAACGACAUUUUCUGGUAGUUUAUUUCAACCCAAUGUCCACAGCAUUAAAAUUAUGGUUCUGUAAACUGUAAGAGGAGAGAGGCAAUAAUAUAGUCCCUUUUUGUAGUUUUCUGGAGGAUCUGACCUGAUCAAAUCAACCUGAUUUGUUAAUUUUUAGAAUGUGCCUAAUGGGUUUUUUUUUAUUUUUAUUUUUUAUUUUUUUUGAGGCAGAAUCUUGCUCUGUCACCCAGGUUGGAGUGCAGUGACCCCAUCUCGGCUCACUACAACCUCCGCUACCCGAGUUCAAGCGAUUCUCUUGCCUCAGCCUCCCAAGUAGCGGGGAUUACAGGCACCCACCACCCCGCCUGGCUAGUUUUUGUAUUUUUAAUAGAGACAGGGUUUCACCAUGUUGGUCAGGCUGGUCUUAAACUCCUGACUUCAGGUGAUCCACCCGCCUUGGCCUCCCAAAGUCUGGGAUUACAGCCGUGAGCCACCACGCCCGACCCCGUAAUUUUUUAAAAGCAUCUUUUAUUCGUUAAUCAUCAGUUAACUUGAACCCGAAUCCAAACGCUGCGAAAGACCUGACCAUUGUUCUCCAGAAUCUGCGAACGAUUUGGUGAGAGCUCUAGGGCAGUGGUUGUUCUCAACUGAGAUGAUUUGCAACCCAGCAGACGUCUGGCAAUGUCUAGAGAUAUUUUUUGUCACGACUUACAGUAAGACAGGAUCACUAGAUGCACAGUCCUGGUAUCUAGUGAGUAGAGGCCAGGGAUGCUGUUAAACAUUCUAUAAUGCACAGGACAGACCCCCCAGAACAAAGAAUUAUCCAGCCUAAAAUGUCAAUAGUGCCGAGACUGAGAAACUGUGCCCCAGGGUACUGUUAGAAGAAGGGAUGGAGGGCCAGGCGCGGUGGCUCACGCCUGUAAUCGCAGCACUGUGGGAGGUCAGGCGGGCGGAUCACGAGGUCAGGAGAUCAAGACCAUCCUGAUUAACACGGUGAAACCCCGUCUCUACUAAAAAAUACAAAAAAUUAGCCGGGAGUGGUGGCGGGCGCCUGUAGUCCUAGCUGCUUGGGAGGCUGAGGCAGGAGAAUGGCGUGAACCCAGCAGGCGGAGCUUGCAGUGAGCUGAGAUCGCGCCACUGCACUCCAGCCUGGGCAACAGAGUGAGGAUCUGUCUCUAAAUAAAUAUAUAAAUAAAAGAAGGGAUGGAGACAUAGUUUUUAGCUGGAGUCAAAAGAAAAAAUCCUCAUGGGGAAGGGGAGCUUGGGCUAGAUUCCUUCAUCCCACCCAGUGGAGCUGGAGGAUGUCUCUCCCCAAGCUCAGCAAAUGUCAGGAAAAAAAUACAAGAAGAGGCAAUCAUGUGGAAAUGCAGUCCACAAAGGGAAUUGUGGAUAAACUCAUUUAACCAGAAAGGAGGAAGAAUCCAUGUAGAGCAAUAAGAAAGAAAGCCAGAUAGCACAGCACAUGCAAAUUUAGGGCAAAGAGUUUCUGUUUUGAUGUUAUGCUCCAAUAUCACUAAAUAUUGCUGGUAUUUUUUAAAGCCACACAAAUCAAGGGCAGCAUAAACUUUUAUGUUCCCAGAGUUCAUCUUUGGAAUACUGGCUUAUAGUGUAUAUGUGGAUAUGCACAUAUUUUGCUUCCUCUCCUCCACAUCGUUUUUUACCACUUACAUAAUAGGGAUUCCUUGGAACUCAGUUUUAUAUCACAUUAAAUUUAAAAAUGGGUGCCUACUCAAAAAGACAACCUAUCAAGGCACAGAAAAUUCUGAACCACUGCUGUAAUGAAUACAUCAUUGGAAUCUCCAUUAAGAAAUAUUAUUCUGACCUAGUUCUCUGUGUCAUGCUGCAGAUUGUCCUUCUCUUGACUCAUGGAAUGCUUUGUGAGAAAGAACUACAAAGCCGGGUCCCUCGAUAUUAGCCAUCUCACCCUUCAAAGUUCAGCCAGGAGUGGGACAAAACCCUCGUCACCAUGUUGACAUGUUUACUUCUGGCGCAGGAAAAUACUGCUGUUGCCCAAUUUGGUUUCCCAGUCCAUUCACUUGCCUGGAGACAUAUAUUUUAUGCUUUCCUUUGAUGAUUUACAAAUAAAUUAACGUGAUUCACUAAGGUCUGCCAGCAUAUAUGCGUUACUGGAGAAAUCUGAGAUGUUGAAAAAGUAUUUUAAUUUAUUGUAUCCCAAUACUUUCUUAAGAAAGUUUCUUAAGAACCAAAUAAAUAUCAUCAGCUAGUUUAUAUACCUGACAUAUUUAUUACGGUAUUCCCGCUGAGCACUUCCCAUUGUCAUGUGUUCUCACACAUUGUUUUCACAAAUUGUGUUUUGAAAGAAGUCAAGGGAAAUUCAGGCCAGAGAAGCAAGAUGUUAUCUUUUGGAAAGGAUGAGCCCACUCUAAUGGAAGAGGAUAAUCCAUUCAGAGGCCCAGUAAGUAAAACAGGAUGCACAAACCUGGCUCUCAACUUGCUUACAGUCUGGCUGUGCUUCAGGACUUGGUCAUCAUUGAAGCAGGAUGUGCAAGUACUUGUAAGAAGUAUCCUUGUGGCCAGGUGCAGUGGCUCACACCUGUAAUCCCAGCACUUUAGGAGGCCAAGGUGGGCAGAUCACGAGGUCAGGAGUUCGAGACCAGCCUUGCCAACAUGGUGAAACCUGUCUCUACUAAAAAUACAAAAAUUAGCCGGGCGUGGUGGUGGGCGCCUGUAAUCCCAGCUACUUGUGAGGCUGAGGCAGGAGAAUCGCUUGAAACUGGAAGGUGGAGGUUGCAGUGAGCUGAGAUCAGGCCACUGAACUCCAGCCUGAGCAACAAGAACGAAACUCUGUCUCAAAAAAAAAAGAAGUAUCCUUGUAACAACCCUCACUUUUACCAGAUCCAAGAAUUCUCUCCAGUACCUCUCUAUGUUAUACAGGGAUACUGAAGACAAUUUCAUUAAGUUUUACAGAGAGGCCCCUG